CCAUGGGCAGGUUGAAGGUUGGGUAACACUAACUGGAGGACCGAACCGACUAAUGUUGAAAAAUUAGCGGAUGACCUGUGGCUGGGGGUGAAAGGCCAAUCAAACCGGGAGAUAGCUGGUUCUCCCCGAAAGCUAUUUAGGUAGCGCCUCGUGAAUUCAUCUCCGGGGGUAGAGCACUGUUUCGGCUAGGGGGCCAUCCCGGCUUACCAACCCGAUGCAAACUGCGAAUACCGGAGAAUGUUAUCACGGGAGACACACGGCGGGUGCUAACGUCCGUCGUGAAGAGGGAAACAACCCAGACCGCCAGCUAAGGUCCCAAAGUCAUGGUUAAGUGGGAAACGAUGUGGGAAGGCCCAGACAGCCAGGAUGUUGGCUUAGAAGCAGCCAUCAUUUAAAGAAAGCGUAAUAGCUCACUGGUCGAGUCGGCCUGCGCGGAAGAUGUAACGGGGCUAAACCAUGCACCGAAGCUGCGGCAGCGAACGUAUCACCCAAGACAACUUUACGGAGUUGACGAUUGACGGAGCGAAGCGACGUCAAAGCGUUCAUUAAAGUCGAGUUGGCUUAGGGAUACGUUCGUUGGGUAGGGGAGCGUUCUGUAAGCCUGUGAAGGUGUGUCGUGAGGCAUGCUGGAGGUAUCAGAAGUGCGAAUGCUGACAUAAGUAACGAUAAAGCGGGUGAAAAGCCCGCUCGCCGGAAGACCAAGGGUUCCUGUCCAACGUUAAUCGGGGCAGGGUGAGUCGACCCCUAAGGCGAGGCCGAAAGGCGUAGUCGAUGGGAAACGGGUUAAUAUUCCCGUACUUGGUGUUACUGCGAAGGGGGGACGGAGAAGGCUAUGUUGGCCGGGCGACGGUUGUCCCGGUUUAAGCGUGUAGGUGUGUGUUCCAGGUAAAUCCGGUUCACUUUAACACUGAGGCGUGACGACGAGGCACUACGGUGCUGAAGCAACAAAUGCCC
rnacentral:rRNA from 1 species